rnacentral:rRNA from 1 species
CCUACGGGUGGCAGCAGUGAGGAAUAUUGGUCAAUGGCCGGAAGGCUGAACCAGCCAUGCCGCGUGAAGGUCAGUGCCCUGUGGGCGUUAAACUUCUUUUGUGCGGGAGCAAUAAUGGUCACGUGUGGCCAGACGAGAGUACCGUACGAAUAAGCAUCGGCUAACUCCGUGCCAGCAGCCGCGGUAAUACGGGGGAUGCAAGCGUUAUCCGGAUUUAUUGGGGUUAAAGGGUGCGUAGGGUGUGAGGUAAGUCAGCGGUGAAAUGCCCCCGCUCAACGGGGUGAAGUGCCAUUGAUACUGCCUUGCUGGAAUGCGGAUGCCGUGGGAGGAAGGUGUGGUGUAGCGGUGAAAUGCAUAGAUAUCACACAGAACACCGAUUGCGAAGGCAUCUCACGAAUCCGCGAUUGACGCUGAUGCACGAAAGCGUGGGUAUCAAACAGGAUUAGAUACCCGGGUAGUC